GUGCACCAGGCGAGAAACUUCACACUGUGCGAAAGCACGAUGAGGGAAUCCCAAGUGCUUGCACGUAAGUGUAAGCUGUUUCUCUGUCUAAAACGCAGAGAGAGUAAGGGCUGGGUAAGACGGGUGCCAGCCGCCGCGGUAAUACCUGCAGCUCAAGUGGUGACCGUUAUUAUUGGGCCUAAAACGUCCGUAGCCGGUUUAAUAAAUGCCUGGGUAAAUUGUGUAGCUUAACUAUACGAAUUCCGGGUAGACUGUUAAACUUGAGACCGGGAGAAGUUAGAGGUACUCCUGGGGUAGAGGUGAAAUUCUGUAAUCCUAGGGGGACCACCAGUGGCGAAGGCGUCUAACUAGAACGGGUCUGACGGUGAGGGACGAAGCCCUGGGGCGCAAACGGGAUUAGAUACCCGGGUAGU
rnacentral:rRNA from 1 species